CUCUAGCGCGCUGACGCUUCCUCCCAAGUCCCAACUCCCAACUCCCAAACUCUAGCUGUUACUUCCGUUCAGACUUCAGAGACGUCGCCGUCGCCGUCACCGGGAUGGACCGCAGAGCGCUCUUCGCCUGGAUGCUCGUCGCUGGGGUCGUCGUGCUCUCCUCGCGCUUCCUUCUGGGUUGUGACGCGAAGGUAGGGGAAGCCGGUGUCGAGGCUGCGGCCGCCGGGGACUGGGCUUCGGCGAGGAGGUCUUUGGGGUCGAGGGCGACGAGCCCCAGGCCACCGACAGCGAACACGCCGAAAUCCUACGUGGUGCCGAGCCCCCCACCACGGUUGGUGUGACGUGGAUAGUCGAUCGAUCCUCCUACAGCAGUCCCCAUCUGCUCGUGUACAUACUCUACUCUGCUCCAUGUAACAUCCUGUAACGAUCGACCAUGCUAUUUUUAGUUUUUUUGAUGAAGUUCGUUUUGUUCCAGAGUGUUACAUAAGGUUUUAUCUUUUUGUGUGUAUGUGUGUUUCGAGGUGUAUCAUAAUGUUUCGUUGUGUAUCACUAAAAGAAAAGUGUAACCCAAUAAAAAGUGUAUCUUUAGAAUUAAAAUAUAGUUUCACGGCUU